UGCACGGCUGGGUUAGAUGAGCCUGCUCUCUAGCUCCAUAAAUGCUGGCAAGCGAUGUGCUUCAACAGUGGUCAAAGUUCCACUCUCCACCUCUGGGCCAAGCUGCCAGGGAGGGGCUGAAGUGGCCCCACUCAACCAGAAAGUCUGCGUGUGGAGCAGGUUCAGGAACUGCUUGUCCUCAUAGUCGAAGCGACUUCCGAAGACAACAGAACUGAUAACAUUGGAGACGGUGCGGCUCAGGAAGAAGUUAAAGGAGGAAGAGGGUCACUGCAUUACACAGAGACACAGACUGAGGCAGAGCCCUGGGUGACUGAAGUUGAUGAUGAAACUCAAGACCAGGGACUUUUUCCUGGGAAAUUCCUUCCUCUCAAAAGGAGGGAAUGGAACACACACUCCGAUGUCUGGGGAAUGGAUCUCAGGCCCAGCUUACCUAAGGAAAAGGGAAUAAAAGCUUCAUUCUUCUUCAGUGCCCCACUGGCAUCCAGAAAGUGUUCAGGGUUGAAGGCAUCUGGUUUUUCAAAGUAACGUGGGUCACGGAGAGCAGAGUUCAGGAUGGGAAAUACUUCAGUGUUCUGAGGGAGGGUCACAAGAUCAAAAGAUAUCCUAUUGCCUGCCCUCCCCAUACAACAACAAUAACAACAACAACAACAACAAACCUAAAAAAAGAAAACCAAAAAUAAUGGGACCAUAUUGAGAAAGCAGCAAAAAGUUAACUUUUGGGAUGAAGACAGCCCAAGAAGCCCAUACAGGAGAGAUGCAGGAGAGAGAUGCAGGACCCCCGCUGGUCUCACCUUGGGGAUGAUGUAGCCUCGGAAGUGGGUGUCUUUGGUGACUACGUGGGGCAAACCAAGGGGGAUAAGGUCUGCAAAUCUCUGAAUCUCGUGGAUGACAGCGUCCGUGUAUGGCAUUUUGACCCGGUCGUCGAGGGCUGGAGGGCGAUGUGUGCCAAUCACCUGUUCAAUCUCCUUGUGGACUCUCUCUGCACAGACAAGGGGACCAGUGAACCCCAUUUCCAAGAGACAUCUCACUGAUUUCUACGGGCCAAUGAGCCAGGAAAAUCCUAUGUUAAAGGGUUAAAUCACUGAUACAGCUCAAUCUAAGCAGCUUGGGGUGAGGGAAGGAGGGAGGAAGCAAAAAGAAUUCUUACCCUACUAGAUAUAAUGAAUGUUAUGGAUUUAUCCCCACAUGCACAGGUACACACACACACACACACCACAAUUUUACAUGGAAUUUCAGAUCAAGAACUCUUGGCUACAAACAUGCUGAAACUCUCUCUCUGAGUAGAAAACAAACUAACAUUUGUUGUGUGUGUAUUAGAAGUGAGGCACUGUGUUAGGUCCUCAAGAAUAUAAGAGUGAAAUGAAUAAAUUACUGCAUGAACAACUGGAUAAAUGAAUGAAUACAUCAAUCAAUCAAUGGAUAGAGCAAUUCAUGAAUGGAAAGAUAGAUGAAUGAAUGAACAAACCAAUAAAUGUAUGUGUAUAUUCAUGUAUUAAUCAAUAGAUGGGUCAAUUAACAAAUCACCAGCUAAUAGAUGGUCCAUAAAGAAAUCAAUGAACCUAUUAUAAUUAAUCAAUAAUCAUAUGAAUGGCUAGAUUUAUGGAAGAUAAGGGAUUGAAAAAAUUAGUGAAGUAUGAGUAAAUAAAUGAAUGUGCAUACUGAAUGAUAAAUAAGUAAGGAAUGAAAAAAUGAGUGAAUUAUUUAAUGGAUAAAUUAAGGAAGGGAUGGAUGGAUACAGAAUGAAUUGAAAAAUGAACCGAUGGAAGGAUUCAGAAAUGACACCUGGGCAGGGCGUGGUGCCUCACGCUUGUAAUCCUAGCACUUGGGAGGCCGAGGUGGGUGGAUCGUUUGAGCUCAGGAGUUUGAGA